rnacentral:rRNA from 1 species
AUUGAACGCUGGCGGCAUGCCUAACACAUGCAAGUCGAACGGCAGCACGGCAGUAGCAAUACUGUGGGUGGCGAGUGGCGGACGGGUGAGGAAUACGUCGGAAUCUGCCCAGUCGUGGGGGAUAACUAGCCGAAAGGUUAGCUAAUACCGCAUACGACCGAGAGGUGAAAGCGGGGGACCGCAAGGCCUCGCGCGAUUGGAUGAGCCGACGUCGGAUUAGCUAGUUGGUGGGGUAAAGGCCCACCAAGGCGACGAUCCGUAGCUGGUCUGAGAGGAUGAUCAGCCACACUGGAACUGAGACACGGUCCAGACUCCUACGGGAGGCAGCAGUGGGGAAUAUUGGACAAUGGGCGCAAGCCUGACGCAGCCAUGCCGCGUGUGUGAAGAAGGCCCUUGGGUUGUAAAGCACUUUCAAUUGGGAAGAAAGGUUAGCGUGUUAAUAGCACGUAGCUGUGACGUUACCUUUAGAAGAAGCACCGGCUAACUCCGU